rnacentral:rRNA from 1 species
GAUGAACGCUAGCGGCAGGCUUAACACAUGCAAGUCGAGGGGCAGCGUAAAUAGUAGCAAUACUAUUGGUGGCGACCGGCGGACGGGUGCGUAACGCGUAUACAACCUUCCCUAAACAGGGGGAUAAUCUGGAGAAAUUCGGUCUAAUGCCCCAUAACAUCAGAGCAGGCAUCUGUUUUGGUUAAAUUUCCGGAGGGUUAGGAUGGGUAUGCGUAGCAUUAGCUAGUUGGUGAGGUAACGGCUCACCAAGGCGACGAUGCUUAGGGGGACUGAGAGGUUAACCCCCCACACUGGUACUGAGACACGGACCAGACUCCUACGGGAGGCAGCAGUGAGGAAUAUUGGUCAAUGGGCGGAAGCCUGAACCAGCCAUGCCGCGUGCAGGAUGACGGCUCUAUGAGCUGUAAACUGCUUUUGUACGAGGGUAAAGUGGGCUACGUGUAGCCUUUUGAAAGUAUCGUACGAAUAAGGAUCGGCUAACUCCGUGCCAGCCGCCGCAGUAA